AACCACUUCGGUGGUCAUCCGUAAAAAUUGGAACGAUACAGAGAAGAUUAGCAUGGCCCCUGCGCAAUAUCCGAUACGUAUACACCGCCAGAAAGAUCCUGAGCGU
rnacentral:snRNA from 1 species